ensembl:lncRNA
GCCGGCUGGCCGGGCCGGUCCUGGUGGUACGGGCCGCGCCCUACCAUACCUGCGGGUGCGGCCCCGGGUGGCCCCGGCUUGGGCGGCGCCCUGUGAGCCGGCCUCUGUGGUGUGGCUGGGCUCCUGGGGGGGGGGGGGGGGAGGGGCGAUCUGGCGCGCUCUGGGGUGCCUGGUUGGUGCGCCUGGGGGCCCAGGGCAGUUCCUGGGAUUGCAGUAGCGUUUUUUUUUUUCUUUUUGGUAUACGGUGCACUGGCACGCCUUGGGAUGUGGGAUAAAACUCAUACUGGGCUUAACCUUAGACACGUUAAUCCGAAAUACCUGCUUUAGGUGCUACCAUUCACUCAUUCCCCCUGUUCACAGCCACCACCAUUAUAGCUAAGUUUCACACUUGUCACCAUACUGGCUGGAUUACACAACAUAAUAAGCACAAUAUAUUCUACAACCUCACAUCUCACCCUCACUGCAAAACAGUCUAUUCUUCCCCACCUUUUCUAUAUCCCGCCUUGAGUCUCUUCUCCCUGCUCCCUCUCCCCUCCCCUUCCCCCUCCCCCUCCACUUAUGUGUAACACUGCUCUCCCUUUUUAUAUCCUCCCUAUAAUAAAAGAUUUCUUACCCUUCCUUAGGGAGGGCUGGUGAUGGUCACAAUUAAGCAAUAAAAUAAAUCAAUGUAUUUUAUUGCAAUAACAAAAUAUGCAUUGCUGUCUCAUAAUAAUUGCACUUCCUGUGGUGUUGACCUUUGACAGCAUGUGAAGACAAAGAAAAAAAAAAAAAAAAAAAUGAAAAACAUGUGACAAUGUUGACCUGAAGGACAUUUGUUUUUAGAGGAAAAUCCAAUUGAAAAUGAUAUUAUUUGAUGAUAUGACAAUCCAUUUAUUUUAUGUAUAUAAGAUGCUAAGUUUUUAUCAGACAAUCUUGUAAAUAUUUGCUUGAAGAUAAAUUGAUGCUGUAAACUUCAAAUUCUUGUUGUCCUUUGUUUGUAGCCCGGGCCAGAACAGGUUUCCUUGGAGACGAUAGCUGGAUCAAAAGGGCUGAUGAUGAGGAUGAAGAUAAUGACACCACCACUACUGUCUCCAAAGAUGGCAGAACUACCACCACCACUGAGACGACCACUAUUAGGUCAGGUGUGAAACAGUCGAGCAGGACUGAGACGUUCACCCAGCGGGUCCUGUCCUCCAGCAAAGAGCCACAGUACUCAUCCUAUACACCUAAAACAACUGAAGUCGCCAGGAGAUCUGUCACCAGCACCAAAGAUGCAGAGGACCAUCUGUUUGACACCCUCGUCCAAUCGCCCACCAGGAAUAAUUACUCACCCACAGACAGUGAAACAUCUGUGAUCACAUCUGAGACGGUGACUUUAAAACCCAGUGGAGACGCACAUGCUGAGGAUCAACUCUAUGACCGACUUAUUCUAAAAUCGAUCAAAGAUGAAGACUCUAGUGGAAGGAAAUCUGUGUCCAGUGUUGAGACUGUGUCAGUGAGAAGCACCUCCAUUGGGGCUGAUGAUGAUUUUGACUCCUAUCGAACCAAAUCUCUUUCAUCAGAUCGAUCAUCUUCCCUCACCAGAGGAGAAAGUUCAACGAUGAGUUCAAAGACUUCCAUCCACAACUACAGCUCUUACACUGAAGAGUCUCCUGUCACCACCACCACCACCUACACCAUCAGCAGCAGCAAGUCCAGUGACGACUACAACAGUAACCUCAAAAACUGCUCCUACUCCUCCAGACCAAAUGCCAGGUAUAGGACGACGUGCACGACGGCUGGCAGCUUUGCUUGCCAGCCGAUUAUUUUGUUCUUCACCUGUUUCUGCUGCACGGCGUGUUGCCUCACGUGCAGCGUUGCUCGCCAGGCGGGCAUUUCGGACUUCAGGUGACCUGGCGCAUUUCCUCACAAUUCCGCUCUGUUUCUGCACGUCAAUUUUUUGGCAUGAUACAACCAAAAGUGAUUUGUAGAAUAGUAAUGGUAGUAAUAGUAGUGCGUGCCGCUCAGACGCUCCUCCCACCUCGCAUGUCCCCUUCGGUUUAACCCGCAUUUAGUUUAAAAUAAAAAUUUUGAAAAGUAAUCA